GGAAGAUAGGCUGAUAUAGAGAGAACAUGAAAAGAUGGGGUUUGCCUUACCAACUCUAUUGAGACAAAUCAAUUAAAGUGGACUAUUAUCAGCAGGGGGAAAAACAUCACUUUUGUACUGGUAAUCAGGAUGGCCUAUUUCAAACAGUUGACAAGAAGGUGUGAGUAACAGUAGGGGUAAA